rnacentral:rRNA from 1 species
GUCGAGCGGUAGCACAGAGAGCUUGCUCUCGGGUGACGAGCGGCGGACGGGUGAGUAAUGUCUGGGAAACUGCCUGAUGGAGGGGGAUAACUACUGGAAACGGUAGCUAAUACCGCAUAACGUCGCAAGACCAAAGUGGGGGACCUUCGGGCCUCAUGCCAUCAGAUGUGCCCAGAUGGGAUUAGCUAGUAGGUGGGGUAACGGCUCACCUAGGCGACGAUCCCUAGCUGGUCUGAGAGGAUGACCAGCCACACUGGAACUGAGACACGGUCCAGACUCCUACGGGAGGCAGCAGUGGGGAAUAUUGCACAAUGGGCGCAAGCCUGAUGCAGCCAUGCCGCGUGUGUGAAGAAGGCCUUCGGGUUGUAAAGCACUUUCAGCGGGGAGGAAGGCGUUAAGGUUAAUAACCUUGGCGAUUGACGUUACCCGCAGAAGAAGCACCGACUAACUCCGUGCCAGCAGCCGCGGUAAUACGGAGGGUGCAAGCGUUAAUCGGAAUUACUGGGCGUAAAGCGCACGCAGGCGGUCUGUCAAGUCGGAUGUGAAAUCCCCGGGCUCAACCUGGGAACUGCAUUCGAAACUGGCAGGCUAGAGUCUUGUAGAGGGGGGUAGAAUUCCAGGUGUAGCGGUGAAAUGCGUAGAGAUCUGGAGGAAUACCGGUGGCGAAGGCGGCCCCCUGGACAAAGACUGACGCUCAGGUGCGAAAGCGUGGGGAGCAAACAGGAUUAGAUACCCUGGUAGUCCACGCCGUAAACGAUGUCGAUUUGGAGGUUGUGCCCUUGAGGCGUGGCUUCCGGAGCUAACGCGUUAAAUCGAC